rfam:Enterococcus villorum ATCC 700913 genomic scaffold acvIF-supercont1.6, whole genome shotgun sequence.
GGUUCCUUUAAGUUUAGUCCCGUGAGGCUAAGAAGGGUGUGAGCAAAAGUCAUAUGGUGCGCCAUAUCGAAAGUUGUUCAAUGACGUAGUAUAACUAUAAGUGUAUCUAAGUGUACACUCAGUCUAGACAUUCCUCCUGUCCUCUAUAGGGCAGGAGUUUUUUUGU